GCGUGAGUGAUGAAGGCCUUAGGGUUGUAAUGCUCUUUUAGCAGGGAAGAUAAUGACGGUACCUGCAGAAUAAGCCCCGGCUAACUUCGUGCCAGCAGCCGCGGUAAUACGAAGGGGGCUAGCGUUGUUCGGAAUUACUGGGCGUAAAGCGCACGUAGGCGGAUCGACAAGUCAGGGGUGAAAUCCCGGGGCUCAACCUCGGAACUGCCUUUGAUACUGUCGGUCUAGAGUCCGGAAGAGGUGGGUGGAAUUCCUAGUGUAGAGGUGAAAUUCGU
rnacentral:rRNA from 1 species